UACGUAGGGACCAAGCGUUGUUCGGAUUUACUGGGCGUAAAGGGCGCGUAGGCGGCAAUUCAAGUCAUCUGUGAAAUCUCCGGGCUUAACCCGGAACGGUCAGGUGAUACUGUUUUGCUAGAGUGCGGAAGGGGCAAUCGGAAUUCUCGGUGUAGCGGUGAAAUGCGUAGAUAUCGAGAGGAACGCCAGAGGUGAAGACGGGUUGCUGGGCCGACACUGACGCUGACAGCGCGAAAGCCAGGGGAGCAAACGGG
rnacentral:rRNA from 1 species